CGCUUCUGUGCGCAGCCUGCCGGCCUGGGACCCUCCCAGCACCCCGACGGCUGCGCAACUCAGUCCUUCCGAGAACCCGCCGCCCACGUGUCACUCUGCCGCAGAACACGCAGAGCGGGUCCAAACGCCUGAGGAGAUACUGCGCUUUCUUUACAAGUUGAAGGUUUGUGGCGACCCUGCGUCCGUCAAGUCUACAGGCACCACUUUUCCAACAACAUUUGCUCACUUGUCUGCGUCACAUUUUGCUAAUCCUCACAAUAGAUCACACUUUUUCAUUAUUGUUAUGGUGACCUGUGAUCAGCGAUCUCUGAUGUGACUGCCAUGACUCCCUAAAGGCUCAGAUGAUGGCUAGCGUUUUUUUAGCAAUAAAGUAUUUUUAAAUUAA